UACAGAGGUCUCAACCGUUGUUCGGAUUCAUUGGGCGUAAAGGGUGCGUAGGCGGUCGUGCAAGUCGGAUGUGAAAUCUCAGGGCUCAACCCUGAAACUGCAUUCGAUACUGCGGUGCUUGAGGACUGGAGAGGAGACUGGAAUUCAUGGUGUAGCAGUGAAAUGCGUAGAGAUCAUGAGGAAGACCAGUGGCGAAGGCGGGUCUCUGGACAGUUCCUGACACUGAGGCACGAAGGCCAGGGGAGCAAACGGG
rnacentral:rRNA from 1 species